GGGGAGAUGUGUUGUUAACUGCUACCUAUAUCCUUAACCGAGUUCUAAUCAAGUUCGUACCUUCUAUCCCAUAUGAGUAGUGGAUUGGUGAAGUCCAAGUCUAGACCACUUGCAUCCUUAAGGAUCAGUUGGAUAUGUUCAUAGCUCCUCACACAAGUAUGAUAAGCUUGGACCAAGGGCCAGUAAGAAGGUGUUCAUUAGGUAUCCUAAGGUUUCCAAAGGAUAC
rnacentral:lncRNA from 1 species